rnacentral:rRNA from 1 species
GACGAACGCUGGCGGCGUGCUUAACACAUGCAAGUCGAACGGAAAGGCCCUGCUUUUGUGGGGUGCUCGAGUGGCGAACGGGUGAGUAACACGUGAGUAACCUGCCCUUGACUUUGGGAUAACUUCAGGAAACUGGGGCUAAUACCGGAUAGGAGCUCCUGCUGCAUGGUGUGGGUUGGAAAGUUUCGGCGGUUGGGGAUGGGCUCGCGGCUUAUCAGCUGGUUGGUGGGGUAGUGGCUUACCAAGGCUUUGACGGGUAGCCGGCCUGAGCGGGUGACCGGCCACAUUGGGACUGAGAUACGGACCAGACUCCUACGGGAGGCAGCAGGGGGGAAUAUUGCACAAUGGGCGGAAGCCUGAUGCAGCAACGCCGCGUGCGGGAUGACGGCCUUCGGGUUGUAGACCGCUUUCGCCUGUGACGAAGCGUGAGUGACGGUAAUGGGUAAAGAAGCACCGGCUAACUACGUG